rnacentral:misc_RNA from 1 species
UUGUGGAGGAGGACGCCGAAGGUGGGGCUAAUGACUGGGGUGAAGUCGUAACAAGGUAGCCGUACCGGAAGGUGCGGCUGGAUCACCUCCUAACAGGGAGACAACAAAAUGUAAAUAUUAAUUUUGUCACCUUAGGUCGAUCGGUAUCUCAGAUUCUUUAUUUUUUAAGAAUUUCAGUUUCUAAGUUUUUUCUAAGUCACACCCAUCACUUUUCCUGGGCCAUUAGCUCAGGUGGUUAGAGCGCACCCCUGAUAAGGGUGAGGUCCCUGGUUCAAGUCCAGGAUGGCCCAUAUCUCUAUGUUGGGGGUAUAGCUCAGUUGGUAGAGCGCCUGCUUUGCAAGCAGGAUGUCAGCGGUUCGAGUCCGCUUACCUCCACUGAAUACCACCUCUUACAUAUAUUUAAAGAGGGAAAUUGUUUUGAGUCGUGUCCUAAUUUGCUCUGAGCGAAUCUAGCUUCCUAUUUUAUUCAAUAAAUAAGAUGCUGGACUCAUUGAAUUUUUUUCAUUGUUUUCAGAGAACCUUGACAACUGCAUAGAUUAUUUUUGAAGACAAUAAGCAUCUUAAAUGAUGCAGAUUUAUUAUUUGUGCAAAUGCAUUAAAUAACAAUUCUAUUAAGCUGAUGCUUCAAUUAUUGAAGUUAUUGGUCAAGCUACAA